rnacentral:lncRNA from 1 species
ACCUCACCACGACUAUCAGCGCCACCAUCGUCAUCACCAUCAUCAUCGCCACCUCUCACAAACUACCAUUUCCAAUGUCAAAACCAUCACCUCACCAUCAUAACCACCAACAUAACCACGCCCACUAUCCCCACCACCAAGAUCCAACACUGCCGCCCAAACACGAGAUCGCAGGCACACCAGUCGCUUCCUAAACACCAACAAAAUCGCCAUCCAAAAAUCAACAAAGUCGUCACCCAACCACCAAUAAAACUAUUGUCGCCACCGCCGCCACCGCCACAAGCACAAACAAACCACCCACCACCAUUACUAACAACAAGAUCCAAUAAAACCACCACUAAAAAAACCAACAAAUCAGAUCGAGUCACCUUGCCAUCACCACAACCAAAACGCCGUUGGUUGUGUGCAAUCGCGCUCAGAUCAGAUCCAAAAACUAGAAUGCUUGGCGGCUUCCGUCAGCUUUAUUCCAGCUAACUCUAGCCACUUUCAAGUCGUCUUCUUCGUCUUCCUCUUCUCCAUCGAUUAUUUCUGCUUGGCCUAGCCUUUCUCUAGCUAUGAUGGCGACACCACAGUCGAAGGCUUAACGGUAGAAAACUGAAGUAGAUCUACGAAUGAAGUAGAUCUACGAAUAGCAUGUCGUCUCUCAUAGUGCUGUGUUGCUACGUGUUUUUCCUUUAGUGACUACAGAUCAAAGAUGUUGACCGAUCGGAUGUGUUGUAAGCCUAACCCGGCUAGUGCUCUGGUAGUGGCACAAUAGAGAGAGAAGAGAGAAUUGAAAUAUAGAGAGGGAAUGAAGAGAUUUAG